UACGAAGGGGGCUAGCGUUGCUCGGAAUGACUGGGCGUAAAGGGCGCGUAGGCGGAUGGCACAGUCAGAUGUGAAAUUCCCGGGCUUAACCUGGGGGCUGCAUUUGAUACGUGUUGUCUUGAGUUCGGAAGAGGGUCGUGGAAUUCCCAGUGUAGAGGUGAAAUUCGUAGAUAUUGGGAAGAACACCGGUGGCGAAGGCGGCGACCUGGUCCGACACUGACGCUGAGGCGCGAAAGCGUAGGGAGCAAACAGG
rnacentral:rRNA from 1 species